rnacentral:rRNA from 1 species
AGAAUCAACGCUGGCGGCGUGCCUAACACAUGCAAGUCGCACGAGAAAGGGGAGCAAUCCCUGAGUAAAGUGGCGCACGGGUGAGUAACACGUGAAUCAUCUACCUCCGAGUGGGGAAUAACCUAGAGAAAUCUGGGCUAAUACCGCAUAACACUUACGAGUCAAAGCAGCAAUGCGCUUGGAGAGGAGUUCGCGGCCGAUUAGCUAGUUGGCGGGGUAAUGGCCCACCAAGGCGAUGAUCGGUA